AGAUUAAGUUAUUAAGGGCGCACGGUGGAUGCCUUGGCACUAGAAGCCGAUGAAGGACGUUACUAACGACGAUAUGCUUUGGGGAGCUGUAAGUAAGCUUUGAUCCAGAGAUUUCCGAAUGGGGAAACCCAGCAUGAGUUAUGUCAUGUUAUCGAUAUGUGAAUACAUAGCAUAUCAGAAGGCACACCCGGAGAACUGAAACAUCUUAGUACCCGGAGGAAGAGAAAGAAAAUUCGAUUCCCUUAGUAGCGGCGAGCGAAACGGGAAGAGCCCAAACCAACAAGCUUGCUUGUUGGGGUUGUAGGACACUCUAUACGGAGUUACAAAGGACGACAUUAGACGAAUCAUCUGGAAAGAUGAAUCAAAGAAGGUAAUAAUCCUGUAGUCGAAAAUGUUGUCUCUCUUGAGUGGAUCCUGAGUACGACGGAGCACGUGAAAUUCCGUCGGAAUCUGGGAGGACCAUCUCCUAAGGCUAAAUACUCUCUAGUGACCGAUAGUGAACCAGUACCGUGAGGGAAAGGUGAAAAGCACCCCGGAAGGGGAGUGAAAUAGAACCUGAAACCGUGUGCUUACAAGUAGUCAGAGCCCGUUAAUGGGUGAUGGCGUGCCUUUUGUAGAAUGAACCGGCGAGUUACGAUUUGAUGCAAGGUUAAGCAGUAAAUGUGGAGCCGUAGCGAAAGCGAGUCUGAAUAGGGCGUUUAGUAUUUGGUCGUAGACCCGAAACCAGGUGAUCUACCCUUGGUCAGGUUGAAGUUCAGGUAACACUGAAUGGAGGACCGAACCGACUUACGUUGAAAAGUGAGCGGAUGAACUGAGGGUAGCGGAGAAAUUCCAAUCGAACCUGGAGAUAGCUGGUUCUCUCCGAAAUAGCUUUAGGGCUAGCCUCAAGUGAUGAUUAUUGGAGGUAGAGCACUGUUUGGACGAGGGGCCCCUCUCGGGUUACCGAAUUCAGACAAACUCCGAAUGCCAAUUAAUUUAACUUGGGAGUCAGAACAUGGGUGAUAAGGUCCGUGUUCGAAAGGGAAACAGCCCAGACCACCAGCUAAGGUCCCAAAAUAUAUGUUAAGUGGAAAAGGAUGUGGCGUUGCCCAGACAACUAGGAUGUUGGCUUAGAAGCAGCCAUCAUUUAAAGAGUGCGUAAUAGCUCACUAGUCGAGUGACACUGCGCCGAAAAUGUACCGGGGCUAAACAUAUUACCGAAGCUGUGGAUUGUCCUUUGGACAAUGGUAGGAGAGCGUUCUAAGGGCGUUGAAGCAUGAUCGUAAGGACAUGUGGAGCGCUUAGAAGUGAGAAUGCCGGUGUGAGUAGCGAAAGACGGGUGAGAAUCCCGUCCACCGAUUGACUAAGGUUUCCAGAGGAAGGCUCGUCCGCUCUGGGUUAGUCGGGUCCUAAGCUGAGGCCGACAGGCGUAGGCGAUGGAUAACAGGUUGAUAUUCCUGUACCACCUAUAAUCGUUUUAAUCGAUGGGGGGACGCAGUAGGAUAGGCGAAGCGUGCGAUUGGAUUGCACGUCUAAGCAGUAAGGCUGAGUAUUAGGCAAAUCCGGUACUCGUUAAGGCUGAGCUGUGAUGGGGAGAAGACAUUGUGUCUUCGAGUCGUUGAUUUCACACUGCCGAGAAAAGCCUCUAGAUAGAAAAUAGGUGCCCGUACCGCAAACCGACACAGGUAGUCAAGAUGAGAAUUCUAAGGUGAGCGAGCGAACUCUCGUUAAGGAACUCGGCAAAAUGACCCCGUAACUUCGGGAGAAGGGGUGCUCUUUAGGGUUAACGCCCAGAAGAGCCGCAGUGAAUAGGC
rnacentral:rRNA from 1 species